rnacentral:sRNA from 1 species
GCUGGGUGUGGUGGUGCACACCUGUAAUCACAGCAGCUCCAGAGGCUGAGGCAGGAGUACCACAAGUUCAAAGCCAGCCUCAGCAAUAGUGAAGUGCUAAGCAACUCGGUGAGACCCUGUCUCUA